AUUGAACGCUGGCGGCAGGCCUAACACAUGCAAGUCGAGCGGAUGAAGGGAGCUUGCUCCUGGAUUCAGCGGCGGACGGGUGAGUAAUGCCUAGGAAUCUGCCUGGUAGUGGGGGAUAACGUCCGGAAACGGGCGCUAAUACCGCAUACGUCCUGAGGGAGAAAGUGGGGGAUCUUCGGACCUCACGCUAUCAGAUGAGCCUAGGUCGGAUUAGCUAGUUGGUGGGGUAAAGGCCUACCAAGGCGACGAUCCGUAACUGGUCUGAGAGGAUGAUCAGUCACACGGGAACUGAGACACGGUCCAGACUCCUACGGGAGGCAGCAGUGGGGAAUAUUAGACAAUGGGCGAAAGCAUGAUCCAGCCAUGCCGCGUGUGUGAAGAAGGUCUUCGGAUUGUAAAGCACUUUAAGUUGGGAGGAAGGGCAGUAAGUUAAUACCUUGCUGUUGUGACGUUACCAACAGAAUAAGCACCGGCUAACUUCGUG
rnacentral:rRNA from 1 species